AGUGGCGUUUUCAACCGCACGCCGCAAAAGAUUAGAAAUUCGUGCCGUUUUUUAAAACGCGCCGCAAAGUUUGUGCCUGAUACUGCAAAACGUUACGUUUUAUAUGUUUUAUUUUAGUGGCGUUUUUUGGAAAACACUGCAAAAUGACUAUACUUUUGGUAUUUUUUGCAAAUUGUAUCAUGUAAAGUGGGAAGUUAUCCUGUAACUGGGAAGGGAAACGGCGCCGUUCUGUUCUUCGCCUUUAGUGGCGCUUUUGAAAAACGCCGCAAAGUUUUAUUCGGAGUUAAUAAAACUACGCCGUUUUACGUUGCUAUUACUGGCGCUUUACAUAAAACGCCGCAAAAUUGUAUUUAUGUUUAUCGAAAUGUUGUCGUUUUGCCAAUGGUAUUAGUGGCGUUUUUUUGGAAAUGCCACAAGCUUGAGUUAAAUGUCGUUUGACUUCGUUUGAUCUUAUAUUUAGUGGCGCUUCACUUAAAACGCCGCAACAUUGUUCUAACAUUUAUAGAAACACUGCCGUUUUUUAAAUGUUAUUAGUGGCGAUUUUUUUAAAACGCCACGGGUUUGAGGUAAGUGUUGCUGAAGCGACUGCGUUUUGAUUUAUAGUUAGUGGCGCUUGAACUAAAACGCCGCAAAAAUGUUUUAACAUUUAUCUAUACGAGGCCGUUUUGCUGUAUUAUUAGUGGCGUUUAUUCAAAAACGCCACAGGUGUGCGCUAUUUGUUGAUGAAACGACUGCGUUUCGACUUAUAGUUAGUGGUGCUUAUUUAUAAACACCGCAAAUGGUUAAUUUUUUAGAUGAAAACGGCGUCGUUUUUUUCCAUCAUUCUGACCAAAAUUGGAACCCGAUAUUUUUCAUCUGUUAUCCCCCAAAGCCUCCAUCAGAUUUCCCCCAAAAUUUAUUUUCCCCCCAAAUCCCUAAAAUUUCCCCUAAUCCCUAACAGCUCCCCAAACCCGACCACCUGCUACUCUACCGUCUCCUGUGCUGCAUCACUUUCUCUGUCCGUCUCUGGUGCCGCAACCAUCGCUACCGACGAUUUGAAGCUUCAACUUUCCCAGAAGCUCCAAGGCUGAAACCGAGGAGAAGACGCUAAAAUUACACUUUUCGGACUCCAUCUUCAGUUUUGGUCGAUACCCUUUCCAAGGCAGAAUUAAUAUUUGGUGCAACUUAAUACAUAUCUGACCAUUGACAUCUGGUUUGCUGCCUGUGUUUUGGCCGAACUAUUGUUUGGGCAGGUACAUGUUAAAAUUUGACAGUUUUUCCCUUCUUUGUAUGCAUUCUCCCAAAUCAGUUAACAAAAUAAAUAUUUCUCACUACAAUCUCUCUUUGCUGGUGAGAGUGAAGUAGACAAAGUUGAGUGAAAUAUUAAGGUAUGUUUUAGUUCAUAACUUAAAUCAGUAAUAGUUUUAUCAUGAUGAUUAGGGAAAAAUGUUUCUUUUGGGGCUCUGGUUUUGUAUAUAUGUAAUUGGUUUUG